AGCGUACGCUGGCGGCAGGCUUAACACAUGCAAGUCGAGCGGGCAUCCUUGUGGUGUCAGCGGCAGACGGGUGAGUAACGCGUGGGAACGUGCCCUUCGGUUCGGAAUAACUCAGGGAAACUUGAGCUAAUACCGGAUACGUGCGAGAGCAGAAAGGUUUAUCUGCCGAAGGAUCGGCCCGCGUCUGAUUAGCUAGUUGGUGAGGUUACGGCUCACCAAGGCGACGAUCAGUAGCUGGUCUGAGAGGAUGAUCAGCCACACUGGGACUGAGACACGGCCCAGACUCCUACGGGAGGCAGCAGUGGGGAAUAUUGGACAAUGGGGGCAACCCUGAUCCAGCCAUGCCGCGUGAGUGAUGACGGCCUUAGGGUUGUAAAGCUCUUUUCUCCGGGACGAUAAUGACGGUACCGGAGGAAUAAGCCCCGGCUAACUUCGUG
rnacentral:rRNA from 1 species